GUUGGCGGAGGCUCCUCCAGGGACUGGGGCACAGAUCUGCGUAGAAACGGGUGGCGGGGAAGAGAGGGGAGGAGAGCUCUGAGUGGGAAGCGGAGCCGGGGGCCUGGGACCCGUCGCGUCAGAGCCAGGCAAGUGAACCGGAGCAAACGACUUCCGAUCCAGUCUGCGCUGUUGCAGCUCCCGUUUGGGAUUUGAUUUGCAGCAUCUUUGAGCCUCUACGACAAAAAAACCGCGAAGCACGCCCAGCCCUCCCCCGGCACCCCGAAAAGCACCCACUCCCUCCCGGGGACACAGCUGGGCGCGUCCACACCCCCGCAGCCCCACACCAUGUUGUGCGGAAGGACUUCCACUCCCCGCCUGUGUCGUUGAUGUCAGACCCCAGGCCAGCCUCCGGGCGCUGCAGUUCUCCCGGCUAAUGCUGAGGCUGCGGCUCCGGCUCUAGCACAGGCACCAGCCGCCGCCGCACCCGGCCUCAGCGCCCACCGUCUGCAUGUGCCCGCCGUAGCCGUCUGCCCAGCCCGCAGCCCGCGCUCCACGGAGCGCUGGAGACCACCGUGGGGGGCCCCUUCUGCCCUCGAGAGAAGCGGUCUUGGAGGUAUUGAUUUAAGUGGUUGGAUUUUUUCCGUGGAUCUAUCAAUUCACAAUUCGAAUUUGGAAGAAAGAAGGAAAACAUGACGUCUCCAGCCAAAUUCAAAAAGGAUAAGGAGAUCAUAGCAGAGUACGAUACUCAGGUCAAAGAGUAAAGAAGUCGGCCAGCAGCUCCAAGAUGAUUUGAUGAAGGUCCUGAACGAGCUCUACUCGGUCAUGAAGACAUAUCACAUGUACAAUGCCGACAGCAUCAGUGCUCAGAGCAAACUAAAGGAGGCGGAGAAGCAGGAGGAGAAGCAAAUUGGUAAAUCGGUAAAGCAGGAGGACCGGCAGACCCCACGCUCCCCUGACUCCACGGCCAACGUUCGCAUUGAGGAGAAACAUGUCCGGAGGAGCUCAGUGAAGAAGAUUGAGAAGAUGAAGGAGAAGCACCAAGCCAAGUACACGGAGAAUAAGCUGAAGGCCAUCAAAGCCCGGAAUGAGUACUUGCUGGCUUUGGAGGCAACCAAUGCAUCUGUCUUCAAGUACUACAUCCAUGACCUAUCUGACCUUAUUGAUUGUUGUGACUUAGGCUACCAUGCAAGUCUGAACCGGGCUCUACGCACCUUCCUCUCUGCUGAGUUAAACCUGGAACAGUCGAAGCAUGAGGGUCUGGAUGCCAUCGAGAAUGCAGUAGAAAACCUGGAUGCCACCAGUGACAAGCAGCGCCUCAUGGAGAUGUACAACAACGUCUUCUGCCCCCCUAUGAAGUUUGAGUUUCAGCCCCACAUGGGGGAUAUGGCUUCCCAGCUCUGUGCCCAGCAGCCUGUCCAGAGUGAGCUGCUACAGAGAUGCCAACAACUGCAGUCUCGCUUAUCCACUCUAAAGAUUGAAAACGAAGAGGUAAAGAAGACAAUGGAGGCCACCCUGCAAACCAUCCAGGACAUUGUGACUGUCGAGGACUUCGAUGUGUCUGACUGCUUCCAGUACAGCAACUCCAUGGAGUCCGUCAAGUCCACGGUCUCUGAAACCUUCAUGAGCAAGCCCAGCAUUGCUAAGAGGAGAGCCAACCAGCAAGAGACAGAGCAGUUUUAUUUCACAGUAAGGGAGUGCUAUGGCUUUUAAAGAGCGUCAGCAUGCACUGCAGCACUCAAGGGAGAUUUGGAACUCAGAGUCCUUGUUAAGUGUCUGAAGGACAGGCGUUGAAUAUCUUAGAUACGAAUGUGGGCAUACUCAGAGACCAUCCCUACAGUUAAAGGUGCAAACAUUAAAAGUUGUAUAUGUCUAACAGGGAUCCGCCCAAGAGAAAGGAUGCUCCCAAGUAUACAACUAAGAAGAUUUUCUUUUUUAAGAAAUUUUUAACUAGCUAGUAGGCUUUCACUGGAAAGUUUCCUUCUCAGGCACAGGGGAUCCUGAAAGGGGAACUUCAUCUUUUAGUUCUUGGAGAGUACAUACAAAUAUUCAUAAUAACACAUAUUUUGUUUAUAAAAAUCUAUAAUCUCUUCUAGGUGAUAUGAUGACAUUAUUUUAUAACUUUUAUUGUUGGGAAACUAUUUUUUCUAAUUAUUGCUAAAACUUAAAGGAUGGGUAAUAUGCAGCAUUACUAUUUUGCACAUAAUUCCAAAACAUCGUAUUUUCUUAUUCAUGUAUCUCUAGUCUUCUUUUAGACAGUUGGACCCUUUUUUCUUUUUCUUUUUUUUUUUUUUUUUUUUUUUUUUUUAAGUAUUGUUAACAAUCCUUUGGAAGUCACUACUGGUCUUUGUGUGCUGCUUUUUAAUAAUUGAGUUAUUUUGAGCUUGCCAAGUAGGAUCUAUUGCCUGGACUAAAAUUUAUUUCCUAAUCUUCUGAUGACCAAGAAAGGAAAAAUUAAGUUUGCAGAUGUGAGAUGAAAUAUAGCCAGUGAAUAUGCAUACUGAUUCUGAAUGAAAGGAAUUAACUUUUCAGUCAAGAAACAGUCUGCAUGCAGUAAAUUGAAUUUUUCCUGCAACUGGAAUGAUUUGUUUAAUUCUUCUUUGAACACUGCCCUUUCUCCAGUAAGAACACUAAUGAUUUGCUAAUAUUUUUUAAAGAAAUCUGUUUUUUUAAUUAGUUAAGCUCAGACUUCCUCUUAUUUUUUAUCCUAGAGAAAACUGCUAAAAGGGAAUGAUAUAUCAGUACUAUUCUUCUAAAACAACUUUUUAAAAAUGAUUAUACAAAGCCAAAUAUGCUCAUUAUAUAAAAUUUAGAAGCAAAAAGAAGGAAAUAAAAAUUUUCCAUAAUUCUACCAGCUAGAGAUAAUGGUGUUAGAAUAUAUUCCUUUCUAAUCUGUUUUCUAUGCAUGCACAAACACAUAUGUGAGCACAUAUUUAUAAUUUUAUUCUAAAAAAUAGGAUACUGCUGUACAUAUUGUUUUACAAUCUAAGUCAUAUAAUUAUAAUAUUCUUUAAGCAUAUUUAUGAGUAAAAUAUUAAAACCUAUACAAAAAAAUAAUAGAAUGGCA